UACGUAGGGUGCGAGCGUUAAUCGGAAUUACUGGGCGUAAAGCGUGCGUAGGUGGUGAGUUAAGUCUGUCGUGAAAGCCCCGGGCUCAACCUGGGAAUGGCGAUGGAUACUGGCUCGCUAGAGUGCGGUAGAGGAGAGUGGAAUUCCCGGUGUAGCAGUGAAAUGCGCAGAUAUCGGGAGGAACACCAAUGGCGAAGGCAGCUCGCUGGGACGUGACUGACGCUGAGACGCGAAAGCGUGGGGAGCAAACAGG
rnacentral:rRNA from 1 species